rnacentral:rRNA from 1 species
GACGAACGCUGGCGGCGUGCUUAACACAUGCAAGUCGAAUGGAAAGGCCCUGCUUUUGUGGGGUGCUCGAGUGGCGAACGGGUGAGUAACACGUGAGUAACCUGCCCUUGACUUUGGGAUAACUUCAGGAAACUGGGGCUAAUACCGGAUAGGAGCUCCUGCUGCAUGGUGGGGGUUGGAAAGUUUCGGCGGUUGGGGAUGGACUCGCGGCUUAUCAGCUUGUUGGUGGGGUAGUGGCUUACCAAGGCUUUGACGGGUAGCCGGCCUGAGAGGGUGACCGGCCACAUUGGGACUGAGAUACGGCCCAGACUCCUACGGGAGGCAGCAGUGGGGAAUAUUGCACAAUGGGCGGAAGCCUGAUGCAGCAACGCCGCGUGCGGGAUGACGGCCUUAGGGUUGUAAACCGCUUUCGCCUGUGACGAAGCGUGAGUGACGGUAAUGGGUAAAGAAGCACCGGCUAACUACGUG